rnacentral:sRNA from 1 species
GACACCCUGCAGUGUUCGAGGUGCUUUCAAUAACCGCUCUUUGCCUUUGCUUCUUUUCGGGAGCCGAACCGACGGCGAAAGCUGCUAGGCCGUAAAUCGGAAAGCAAACGUCGCCGCGGAAUCCCCACCUAGACACAAAAAGGAAUAGAGCCUUUGGGCAUACGGCACAAAGCAGGGUGUCC